CGGGUGAGUAAUACAUCGGAACGUGCCUAGUAGUGGGGGAUAGCCCGGCGAAAGCCGGAUUAAUACCGCAUACGACCUACGGGUGAAAGCGGGGGAUCGCAAGACCUCGCGCUAUUGGAGCGGCCGAUGUCGGAUUAGCUUGUUGGUGAGGUAAAAGCUCACCAAGGCGACGAUCCGUAGCUGGUCUGAGAGGACGACCAGCCACACUGGGACUGAGACACGGCCCAG
rnacentral:rRNA from 1 species